rnacentral:rRNA from 1 species
UACGAAAGGGACUAGCGUUGUUCGGAAUUACUGGGCGUAAAGCGCACGUAGGCGGCCUUGUAAGAUGGGGGUGAAAUCCCCGGGCUCAACCCGGGAAUUGCCUUCAUGACUGCAAAGCUCGAGGAUGCGAGAGGUGAAUGGAAUUCCGAGUGUAGAGGUGAAAUUCGUAGAGAUUCGGAAGAACACCAGUGGCGAAGGCGAUUCACUGGCGCAUUGCUGACGAUGAGGUGCGAAAGCGUGGGGAGCAAACAGG